rnacentral:rRNA from 1 species
UACGUAGGGUGCAAGCGUUAAUCGGAAUUACUGGGCGUAAAGCGUGAGCAGGCGGCUAUGCAAGACAGAUGUGAAAUCCCCGGGCUCAACCUGGGAACUGCAUUUGUGACUGCACGGCUAGAGUGCGGCAGAGGGGGAUGGAAUUCCGCGUGUAGCAGUGAAAUGCGUAGAUAUGCGGAGGAACACCGAUGGCGAAGGCAAUCCCCUGGGCCUGCACUGACGCUCAUGCACGAAAGCGUGGGGAGCAAACAGG